rnacentral:tRNA from 1 species
CGGUGGGUAGCUCAGUUGGUAGAGCGGUCUUGAUCAGAUGCGGCGGUGACUCGAUAUCAUCCCCACCGACCA